rnacentral:rRNA from 1 species
GAGUUUGAUCUUGGCUCAGAUUGAACGCUGGCGGCAUGCCUUACACAUGCAAGUCGAACGGCAGCACGGGAGCUUGCUCCUGGUGGCGAGUGGCGAACGGGUGAGUAAUGCAUCGGAACGUAUCCUGGAGUGGGGGAUAACGUAGCGAAAGUUACGCUAAUACCGCAUAUUCUGUGAGCAGGAAAGCGGGGGACCUUCGGGCCUCGCGCUCUUGGAGCGGCCGAUGUCGGAUUAGCUAGUUGGUGAGGUAAAGGCUCACCAAGGCGACGAUCCGUAGCAGGUCUGAGAGGAUGAUCUGCCACACUGGAACUGAGACACGGUCCAGACUCCUACGGGAGGCAGCAGUGGGGAAUUUUGGACAAUGGGGGCAACCCUGAUCCAGCCAUGCCGCGUGAGUGAGAAGGCCUCGGUUGUAAG